GGAAUCUCACCUCCAGAAGCCUCCAGCACAGGGGUGGUCCCCUGGCACCCAGGACGUCUACUGCCCUUCCUGACCCCCAUGGGGCCACCCUCUCGGGUCUCGCACCCACCACCACCACCACCCAGAGCCACAACAACUGACCCAGGAGAACACUCUCCCGCAGCAUACUGGAGCCUCCACAGCCCUCAUGUGCAACUUGCUGUGCUCAGCUUACUCCUCUUGGGGACUGAGGGCACUUCUCUGCCUGGGGACGCCACCUGCCACGGAGGCCAGGGAAUGACACCCACGAGCACUGGAGUGGCGAGCACCCAAGAGGAGAUACCCUACAUCCAAGGGAACCACUACUUUGUUCUUGAUAUCAUGAGUCUGCUCCUUUUUUGUUACAUUCACUAGUUUGUUGUGUUACUGAGAUUCUACAUAUGAGUGAUAUCAUUCAGUAUCUGUCUUUCUCUGAUUUAUUUCACUGAGCAUAAUACUUUUCAAAUCCACCCUCCACACACCCACACACACCCACCCGCACACACACACACCCACACACACACACCCCCCGACACACACAUAUGUUAUGUAUAUGCACACAUAUACCAUAUGUUCUUUGUUCAUUCAUCUGAUGAUGGACACUUAGGUUACUUCCAUAUCUUCAGUUGAGUUCAGUUCAGUUCAGAGGAGAGAAAUGAGGAAGGAAGUGGAGAAGAGGCAGCAGGAGGAGGAGGCUAGCAAGGUCUUGGGCAGAUAUGCAUGGAGACAGUGACCGCCUGGAGGAAGAGCACGUCGACAUGACCUCACUCCCGUUCACAUGUGGACAAGCUGAGGGCAGCAACAGGAUGUUGGAGGUCAGAGAUCCACCUUUCAUUGAAGAGGUGAACCACCGAGGCCCUGGGUGGUCCCUGAAGAUAAGGACACCAGGGAUCCCAAGGCCAGGCUCUGAGGAGCACCAGGGUUCCCUGGUCACAUCCUGACUCUAAGUCUCCCAUUUGCUUUCCCACAG
ensembl:lncRNA